rnacentral:rRNA from 1 species
CAAACUGGAGAUGGCGACCGGCGCACGGGUGAGUAACACGUAUCCAACCUGCCGAUAACUCGGGGAUAGCCUUUCGAAAGAAAGAUUAAUACCCGAUGGCAUAAUAGAACCGCAUGGUUUGAUUAUUAAAGAAUUUCGGUUAUCGAUGGGGAUGCGUUCCAUUAGGCAGUUGGUGGGGUAACGGCCCACCAAACCUUCGAUGGAUAGGGGUUCUGAGAGGAAGGUCCCCCACAUUGGAACUGAGACACGGUCCAGACUCCUACGGGAGGCAGCAUG